CAGCCGCCGCGGGAAUGCGUAGGUGGCAAGCGUUGUCCGGAAUUAUUGGGCGUAAAGGGCUCGCAGGCGGUUUCUUAAGUCUGAUGUGAAAGCCCCCGGCUCAACCGGGGAGGGUCAUUGGAAACUGGGAAACUUGAGUGCAGAAGAGGAGAGUGGAAUUCCACGUGUAGCGGUGAAAUGCGUAGAGAUGUGGAGGAACACCAGUGGCGAAGGCGACUCUCUAGUCUGUAACUGACGCUGAGGAGCGAAAGCGUGGGGAGCGAACAGGAUUAGAGACCCGAGUAGUCCCUGUCUCUUAUAC
rnacentral:rRNA from 1 species